rnacentral:rRNA from 1 species
UCAGCCGCCGCGGUAAUACGUAGGUGGCAAGCGUUGUCCGGAAUUACUGGGCGUAAAGGGCGUGUAGGCGGCCAUUUAAGUCAGAUGUGAAAAGCCAGGGCUUAACCCUGGACCUGCAUUUGAGACUGGGUGGCUUGAGGAUCGGAGAGGGCAGUGGAAUUCCCAGUGUAGCGGUGAAAUGCGUAGAUAUUGGGAGGAACACCAGUGGCGAAGGCGACUGCCUGGACGACACCUGACGCUGAGGCGCGAAAGCCAGGGGAGCAAACGGGAUUAGAUACCCCGGUAGUCCUGGCCGUAAACGAUGGGUACUAGGUGUGGGAGGUAUCGACCCCUUCCGUGCCGCAGUUAACACAAUAAGUACCCCGCCUGGGGAGUACGGCCGCAAGGUUGAAACUUAAAGGAAUUGGCGGGGGAU